rnacentral:rRNA from 1 species
AUUGAACGCUGGCGGCAGGCCUAACACAUGCAAGUCGAGCGAGCGGCGGACGGGUGAGUAAUGUAUGGGGACUGCCCGAUAGAGGGGGAUCACCACUGGAAACGGUGGCUAAUACCGCAUACUAUCGGAUAACCCAUAUGGGAUUAGCUAGUAGGUGGGGUAAAGGCUCACCUAGGCGACGAUCUCUAGCUGGUCUGAGAGGAUGAUUCGCCAACCGGGGACGAAGACAGGCCCCAAGUCCCAACGUGGGAAGACGGGGGGAAUAAUGUACAAUGGGCGCAAGCCUGAUGCAGCCAUGCCGCGUGUAUGAAGAAGGCCUUAGGGUUGUAAAGUACUUUCAGCGGGGAGGCGUUACCCGCAGAAGAAGCACCGGCUAACUCCGUGCCAGCAGCCGCGGUAAUUC